GAAAUGCGAUAAGUAAUGUGAAUUGCAGAAUUCAGUGAAUCAUCGAAUCUUUGAACGCACCUUGCGCUCCUUGGUAUUCCGAGGAGCAUGCCUGUUUGAGUGUCAGUAAAUUCUCAACUCUUCCAGUUUUUGUGACUGCGAUAGAGCUUGGAUGUGGAGGUCUUGCGGGCCCUGAUUGAAUGGGUCGGCUCCUCUGAAAUGCAUUAGCGGAACCGUUUGCGAUCCGUCACAGGUGUGAUAAUUAUCUACGCCAGUGGGUCGCUCUCUGUCUUGUUCAGCUGCCAACCGUCCGAAAGGACAGACUCUUACUGAACGUUUGACCUCAAAUCAGGUAGGACUACCCGCUGAACUUAA
rnacentral:rRNA from 1 species